rnacentral:rRNA from 1 species
AGCGAACGCUGGCGGCAGGCUUAACACAUGCAAGUCGAGCGGGCACUUCGGUGUCAGCGGCAGACGGGUGAGUAACACGUGGGAACGUACCCUUCGGUUCGGAAUAACGCUGGGAAACUAGCGCUAAUACCGGAUACGCCCUUUUGGGGAAAGGUUUACUGCCGAAGGAUCGGCCCGCGUCUGAUUAGCUAGUUGGUGGGGUAAUGGCCUACCAAGGCGACGAUCAGUAGCUGGUCUGAGAGGAUGAUCAGCCACACUGGGACUGAGACACGGCCCAGACUCCUACGGGAGGCAGCAGUGGGGAAUAUUGGACAAUGGGCGCAAGCCUGAUCCAGCCAUGCCGCGGGAGUGAUGAAGGCCUUAGGGUUGUAAAGCUCUUUUGGCCGGGACGAUAAUGACGGUACCGGAAGAAUAAGCCCCGGCUAACUUCGU